rnacentral:rRNA from 1 species
UACGUAGGGGGCGAGCGUUGUCCGGAUUUAUUGGGCGUAAAGAGCGUGUAGGCGGCCAGACAGGUCCGUUGUGAAAACUCGAGGCUCAACCUCGAGAUGUCGAUGGAAACCGUCUGGCUAGAGUCCGGAAGAGGCGUGUGGAAUUCCUGGUGUAGCGGUGAAAUGCGCAGAUAUCAGGAAGAACACCUAUGGCGAAGGCAGCACUCUGGGACGGUACUGACGCUGAGACGCGAAAGCGUGGGGAGCGAACAGG